rnacentral:tRNA from 1 species
GCUGAGGUAGCCAAGCCCGGAUGACGGCGCCAGCCUUGAGAGCUGGUGGGCGUAAUGCCCUCAGGAGUUCAAAUCUCCUCCUCAGCG